rnacentral:rRNA from 1 species
GUAGGGAAUAUUGGGCAAUGGUCGGAAGACUGACCCAGCCAUGCCGCGUGCAGGAAGACGGCCCUCUGGGUUGUAAACUGCUUUUAUCUGGGAAGAAAAAGGCCAUGCGUGGCAAAUUGCCGGUACCAGAUGAAUAAGCACCGGCUAACUCCGUGCCAGCAGCCGCGGUAAUACGGAGGGUGCGAGCGUUGUCCGGAUUUAUUGGGUUUAGAGGGUGCGUAGGCGGCUGAUUAAGUCAGCGGUGAAAGACUUCGGCUUAACCGGAGCAGUGCCGUUGAUACUGGUUGGCUUGAGUGUCGGAGGGGUACAUGGAAUUGAUGGUGUAGCGGUGAAAUGCAUAGAUACCAUCAGGAACACCGAUAGCGAAGGCAUUGUACUGGCCGACAACUGACGCUGAUGCACGAAAGUGUGGGGAUCGAACAGGAUUAGAAACCCUUGUAGUCC